CUUGGAGGUUCUUCUGUGGCCGGCGUAGCCAAGUCGAAGACUGUAAUGCACUUUAUUGCCGGGCCACAUUUAUGAUACAACUCGAUUGUCGUGUUCAACCCCGGCAGGUUAUGCUGGUCGAUGUGGAUGGAGAUACUCUGAGAUGGGAGACAGAUGAACUAGGAUAGUUCUCCAUGACAGGAGGGCUUUUUGGCACUGACCCACCUGAGGGCCCCACAGGGCAGAAGCCUUGCCUAGAGGAGCUAUAUUGGAGAUGAGAUCGGAGCUGGUUCCCUGUAAGGACCUCUCUUAUGUUUGGUUAACUGUAUGUAAAAU
rnacentral:lncRNA from 1 species